AAGUGGGGAUGACGUCAAAUCAUCAUGCCCCUUAUGACCUGGGCUACACACGUGCUACGAAUAGGGCGGUACAAAGGGUCGCGAACCCGCGAGGGGGAGCCAAUCCCAAAAAAGCCGCUCUCAGUUCGGAUUGCAGGCUGCAACUCGCCUGCAUGAAGCCGGAAUCGCUAGUAAUCGCGGAUCAGCAUGCCGCGGUGAAUACGUUCCCGGGCCUU
rnacentral:rRNA from 1 species